rnacentral:rRNA from 1 species
UACGUAGGGUGCGAGCGUUAAUCGGAAUUACUGGGCGUAAAGUGUGCGCAGGCGGCCGCGCAAGUCGAGUGUGAAAGCCCCGGGCUUAACUUGGGAAUUGCGCUCGAAACUACGUGGCUGGAGUGUGGCAGAGGAAGGUGGAAUUCCUGGUGUAGCGGUGAAAUGCGCAGAUAUCAGGAGGAACACCAGUGGCGAAGGCGCCGCUCUGGGCCGUGACUGACGCUGAGGAGCGAAAGCGUGGGUAGCAAACAGG